UCCAAAGCAAUAUCUAUACUAACUUUGACAUGUAGGUACAUUUUAUUUUGUAGUUUGUUGGGGGUGUGAUAAAUGGCUUAUACUUGUACCUUUUACAGUGGGGUCGUGAGCUUUUGAGAAAGGGAAGAGUAAUAUUCAUGGUCUAGUAGGUAGUAGUGUGAUAGUAGAUUGAGUGGCUUUAGUUAGGUUUGAAUGAAGAAAAUAAGGUUGUUAUAGUGCUGUAAGAUGAGAUAGAGGAAAGAUUAAAAGAAUAGGUUGUUUAAAUUGACUUUAUGGAUGUUAUUUGGGAGAAGAGAAUGAUAGAAUAGUUGGUUUGUUAAGGUUUUGUUAGGUGUAUAAAAAUGUGUACUUGAUACCAUAUUUCUUGCAACAUGGGUAUAAAAUUUUUCCUAAAUUCAAGCAACUUUUUUUUUAUUCAAACCAAUCCAGUUUAUUCUAUCCCCUUUAUCCCAAGCAACAAGUUUAUCACAGACCCAAAAUCAACCAUUUUUCUCACAUUACAACUCACACCAUCUUCCAUUAUUAUGAACCUAUCAGAACAUGCAAAAUAUCUUGCACUAGUAUUUAUCAUAAAAUAAAAUCAUAAUCAAUGAUCAGGCAAUUCACCCACGAUAAAUUUCUCAAAUUCGAUUGUAUUAACUUAAUGUGCCAGCAUCAAAGACCAACUUGUCGUGGCAACCACAAAUGCACCGCAUAGUUA
rnacentral:lncRNA from 1 species